UACGUAGGGGGCAAGCGUUGUCCGGAAUCAUUGGGCGUAAAGAGCGUGUAGGUGGCUCGGUAAGUCCGCUGUAAAAGUCCAGGGCUCAACCCUGGAAAGCCGGUGGAAACUGUCGAGCUAGAGUCCGGAAGAGGCGAGUGGAAUUCCUGGUGUAGCGGUGAAAUGCGCAGAUAUCAGGAGGAACACCGAUGGCGAAGGCAGGUCUCUGGGCCACUACUGACGCUGAGAAGCGAAAGCGUGGGGAGCGAACAGG
rnacentral:rRNA from 1 species